AGCGAACGCUGGCGGCAGGCUUAACACAUGCAAGUCGAGCGGGCACUUUCGGGUGUCAGCGGCGGACGGGUGAGUACCGCGUGGGGACGUACCCUCUGGUUCGGAAUCACUCAGGGAAACUUGAGCUAAUACCGGAUUCGCCCUUUCGGGGUAAUGCUUGCUACCGGAGGGUGGGACCGUGUGUGAUUGUCUUGUUGGUGCGGAUACAGCUCACCAAGGUGACUAUCCGUAGCUGGUCUGAGAGGAAGAUCAACCACACUGAGACUGAGCCACCGCCCAGACUCUUACGCGAUGGAGGAGUGGGGAAUAUUGGACAAUGGGGGCAAGCCUGAUCCAGCCAUGCUGCGUGAGCUAUCAAGGUCUUAGGGUUGUAAAGCGUUUUUAACCGGGACGAUAAUGACGGUACCGGAGGAAUAAGCCCCGGCUAACUUCGUG
rnacentral:rRNA from 1 species